rnacentral:lncRNA from 1 species
GGGCCAUGAGAAAAUUUUGGUGGGCCGCAGAGAAAUUUCACCCCCAGAGCAACCCCCCCAAAGCAAUUAAUCCAGGCUGUGCAGAAACAGAAGGCUGCUCAGCCUACAUGGCCCGUGGGAGCCCUUCCCGCCCACUCACUUCUUACCAGGAAUUUCUAUACCACCCUUCCUUCAGGAACUCAAAAUGGAGCCAUGGGAAGAUUGAAAUCAUGUUGCCAGGGUGAAAGCAAAUAUAUUAGCACCAUGAAAACUAAGUCUGCUGUACUGCUGGUGCCACCUGGGCCCACUCAUUUCAUCAUUUACCA